CCUGGUUGUGGCAGAAUCCCUCCUGUCUGUAUCAGCAGAUGAAAGAAAUAAACAUGUUAUGCCAUUUGCCUUAUUGUAGAUGUUUGACUUCAGCAGUUCACUGCAGAUAAUCUUGUGAUGCUCAUUCUUCAUCCCAGGGACGGGAGUCCUGCCUCUCUCCUGAACGUAAUCAUCUCUGCAUUCUCCAGAUUGCAGCCCUUGGACUCACCGUUAUGCCACUCUCUCUGCCACGGAACCCAGCUCAGCGAAGAGAAAAGAAACUGUGAACAGCAGAACCAGCAAAAACUCUGCACCUAGCCUUCAGGAUGCCCUGGGACCAUUUCUAGGCUCUGUUACCGAGGCUGGGAGGGAACACGGUUAAAGUGUGACAAUGCGGUUAGUAGCUCAGCGGGGAACCGAGCUGGGAAGGUAAGAGCCUGGAGGCGUCUGCUGUACCUCACACUACUUUCUCUCUUAGAAAAAAAGAGUUGGUGUAAAGUCAUUUAAUUACUGAGUGUUAAGUGAACACCUAAUUAUGUCUGGUUGCUGAAACCAGGCUCCCAGGGGCUGGCCCGGUUUCUGUAUUUUAAUCCUUCUUUACCACACACUUUGCCUUUCUCAGCAGCACGGAUCUAUCAGGCUGUCUUCUUAAGAACAGCAAAAAUAGAAACUUAAAAGAGCUAUUCAAUACUAAAUGAUAUAAUGGUAAUAUUCUUCAAAGUGUUCAAAAAUU
rnacentral:lncRNA from 1 species